rnacentral:rRNA from 1 species
AUUGAACGCUGGCGGCAUGCCUUACACAUGCAAGUCGAACGGCAGCAUGGGUGCUUGCACCUGAUGGCGAGUGGCGAACGGGUGAGUAAUGCAUCGGAACGUACCCGGAGGUGGGGGAUAACGUAACGAAAGUUACGCUAAUACCGCAUAUUCUGUGAGCAGGAAAGUGGGGGAUCGCAAGACCUCGCGCUUCCGGAGCGGCCGAUGUCGGAUUAGCUAGUUGGCGGGGUAAAGGCCCACCAAGGCAACGAUCCGUAGCGGGUCUGAGGGGAUGAUCCGCCACACUGGGACUGGGACACGGCCCAGACUCCUACGGGAGGCAGCAGUGGGGAAUUUUGGACAAUGGGGGCAACCCUGAUCCAGCCAUGCCGCGUGAGUGAAGAAGGCCUUCGGGUCGUAAAGCUCUUUCGGCCGGGAAGAAAUCGCACAGGUUAAUACCUUGUGUGGAUGACGGUACCGGAAUAAGAAGCACCGGCUAACUACGUGCCAGCCGCCGCAGUAAAAC